UUUCCUUAAAGUUGUUUUCUUUUCCUUUUUUUAAGUUCAGCCUUUAAUUUUAUUUCAAUUUUCUUUUUCAGGAAAUAUAACCAAGAAGAGUUCUGAGAGAAUACCCUCAUUUGUCCUCUUGGGAUUAAACAAGACUACUGUAUUUUAACUGAGCUUGGCAAAGCCAGGAUAUGAACUGUGCAGGUGGGCUCCUCAGGGUGAGUGAAGAGAUAAGGGAUCCAGUCAGGGACUGGCCACCUGCAGCCCUGCCAGUAUGCCCCUCCACCAGAUUUCCGUAAUCCCCGCCCGGGAGAUGGCCGGCAAUGGGAGAAGUUCCAUGGGAAGAAACAAAGAGAAGAGCAAGGAAGUCGAGGACUUCAGAAAUUGAAAAGGUAUAAGAGGAAGGAGAAAAUGCUGGGCUGGUGUGAAGCAAUAGCCUGUAAUCCUCGCAGGAUUCCUACCACCACUAGGACCCCAGAGGGCUCAGAAGAGUGGGCUGAUACCUCGCAAGCCUCCACACUGGUGAGUGUAGCAAUGGUACCUUGAAUGGCUCGGGUGAAUGGAUGC
rnacentral:lncRNA from 1 species